CUAGUACUCCCUCCGUCCGAAAAUACUUGUCAUCAAAAUGAACAAAAAGGGAUGUAUCUAAAACUAAAAUACAUCUAGAUACAUCCCCUUUUAUUUAUUUUGAUGACAAGUAUUUCCGGACGGAGGGAGUAGCAU
rnacentral:pre_miRNA from 1 species